CUUUAAACGAAUAUGUUGUGUUUCGAUACAGUUUCGAAGCUUUUGUUGAGCGUUUCCUCGGGCGGUUAGUAGUCCAGUGUGCUGUGGGCCGCGAUUCGGGUCAGGGGGUUGUGCAGCAGCGGCGACUGGCGAGGGAUGGUUUGUGCUGAGAAAAAGCUAAGGCGAAGUUUUUAUCUACAUCUCCUCUAAGAGAUAACUUGAAGCCCCACCAACGAGUCUCGAGUGUUAGAUGAGGUACCCUAGAAAUUUUGGGCUCCACCAAGCGUGGAAGAACUUGAGAGAGAGACUGCCGAGUAAAGAGGCUGCUACACGGAGUACUGGAGUCUGGCGGUGUGACCUCGAUGAAACUUGCCACCGCCUUCACCUCAACGCCAGAAGAGGGGAAGUGCAUUGACUGACCCAACACCAGUAUCUGUGAUCAGUCUUUAAUAGUUUCCCUAGGUACCCAUUUACCCACCAGCUCAAAAGGGAGAAUGAACAGCUGGGUGAGCUGCAUGUCAACUGCCCAAGCCAGGGAUUUAUACCCAGACCCACGAUUCAUAGUGAGGCAUGCCAACCAAUCCACCAUGGAGGCACUUUACAGCAGUGGGAAUCUGAAAAUCCACAAAAUCCAGUUUGGUAAUGUAACAAAUGAAUGUUGUGUUCACUGCUUAUAAUGUAACAAACGAAUGUUGUGUUCACUGCUUAAGUAUCAGUAAUAAAUUGACAGUUGAGAAAAAAGUGAUUACAGUGCAUCAUCAGAUUGUACUGAAUAAAUGCAUGAUUUGCAAACAUUUAGCAUUAUGAACUUUAUUAUAAUAGAGAUAUUGAUGUGUGAUGGUGACUAUAGAAUUUGAUAUAUUUGUAAUUCACUUUAUGGCUGAGCAGUCUGGGCUCACACCUGUUAUGCUUGCAGCCUUAGUCAAUUUCAAUAAGUCGUUUGAUUCAGUGCAUCACAAGGCACUCCGAAAUAUCUUGCGACUCCGCAGGAAGGACUAUAUUAGUUUGCUGACUGGCCUACAUUCUGGGACAGAGUGCUGUGAAAUGUGGGGGAAGCUUGUCCAGCUUCUUUCCCAUGAUGCAGGAGCAAGACGGGGCUCAGUCCUUGCCUCGUCGCUUUUCAACACUUGUAGGGACUGGAUACUUGGCAGAGUUGUGGACCAGAUUCAGUGUAGAGCAUCUGUUGGCAAUACCAGGGUCUCUGACCUUGUUUUUGCUGAUGAUGCAGUAAUCCUGGAGUAGUCGCUGAACGUUCUGGUGAUGGCUCUUGAGGCACUGCACAAGGAGGCGAAGCCCUUGGGCUUCAGGAAAAAGCUCUUGAGGCACUGCACAAGGAGGCGAAGCCCUUGGAACUUCAGGUUUCCUGGGCCAAGACCAAGGUACAGUUGUUUGGAGGCUCAUUAGAUGAAACUGUACAGUUUGUUCAUGCGAGUGCCAAGGACAGUGAGAUCUUAGAAAAUAUCACAUACUUUGGUAUCAUAGUUCAUACUGGCGAGUCUCUUCAGAAAGUCUUACUCUUUUGUUUCUUUUUUAGGAGCAGCGGGCUUUUUUUUUAUUGU